GACGAACGCUGGCGGCGUGCUUAACACAUGCCAGUCGAACGGAAAGGCCCUGCUUGCAGGGUGCUCGAGUGGCGAACGGGUGAGUAACACGUGGGUGAUCUGCCCCUUACUUUGGGAUAAGCCUGGGAAACUGGGUCUAAUACUGGAUAGGACCAUGCUGUAGGUGGUGUGGUGGAAAGAUUAGUUUCGGUAAGGGAUGAGCUCGCGGCCUAUCAGCUUGUUGGUGGGGUAAUGGCCUACCAAGGCGUCGACGGGUAGCCGGCCUGAGAGGGUGGACGGCCACAUUGGGACUGAGAUACGGCCCAGACUCCUACGGGAGGCAGCAGUGGGGAAUAUUGCACAAUGGGCGCAAGCCUGAUGCAGCGACGCCGCGUGGGGGAUGACGGCCUUCGGGUUGUAAACUCCUUUCAGCCAUGGCGAAGCCCUUGUGGUGACGGUAGUGGUAGAAGAAGCACCGGCUAACUACGUG
rnacentral:rRNA from 1 species